CGGGGAACCGGGACCGGGACUGAGGCUGAGGAGGGACCCCGGUUCCCCCCGCCCUUCAAUCCCUACUGCAGCGGCGGAUCUGGGCUCACACACCCCACUUCGCUGCAGGACCAUCUGUGCUGUGGGGAGAGGUUGCUCUGCUCAAGGAUCUGCAGCUGGAACAAGCAAGACCCCAAGAUGAGAGUGAGCAAACUCCCAAGUCUGCUUGGCGCCUGCCGGAUCUCGAGUCUGGUGUUUGGGGGGUGGGAGCACCCAUGUAGCUGCCUAAGUUCCUGCAGGUGAUGGGUGGCAUCACAGACACCCCACUGGCUUGAUGCCUCCCUGCUCCCCAAAAUUUGGGUGCUCUCCCUGAUCCUGGGGGCCAGUGCAGUCAAAAGCACUUUUCAGGGCCUGAUGGAGCCCCUACUUUCCUGCUGCUGGUUUCCUUAAAUCUCCAUCCUGCCUGCAAGAGGCUCACACACACACCUCGUGCCUGGCUUACAGCCCUGAAAAUUAUCUGGGAAAGGCAUUUUUAAAUAAAAGUUGUAAACACCCUCAAA